rnacentral:rRNA from 1 species
CCUACGGGGUGCAGCAGUGAGGAAUAUUGGUCAAUGGGCGCGAGCCUGAACCAGCCAAGUAGCGUGAAGGAUGACUGCCCUACGGGUUGUAAACUUCUUUUGUCAGGGAGCAAAGGGCGCGACGUGUGGCGUUUUGCGAGUACCUGAAGAAAAAGCAUCGGCUAACUCCGUGCCAGCAGCCGCGGUAAUACGGAGGAUGCGAGCGUUAUCCGGAUUUAUUGGGUUUAAAGGGUGCGCAGGCGGAGUGUCAAGUCGGCGGUAAAAUUUCGGGGCUCAACCCCGUCGUGCCGUUGAAACUGGCGUGCUUGAGUGAGCGAGAAGUAGGCGGAAUGCGUGGUGUAGCGGUGAAAUGCGUAGAUAUGACGAAGAACUCCGAUUGCGAAGGCAGCAUACCGGCGCUCAACUGACGCUCAUGCACGAAAGCGUGGGUAUCGAACAGGAUUAGAUACCCGUGUAGUC